UGAUCUGUGGCUUAGUUGGUUAAAGUACCAGACUAGCGAUACGGAGUCGUGGGUUCGAAUCCUACCAAAACAA
rfam:Aedes albopictus isolate Foshan contig136563, whole genome shotgun sequence.